rnacentral:rRNA from 1 species
UACGUAGGGUGCGAGCGUUAAUCGGAAUUACUGGGCGUAAAGCGUGCGCAGGCGGUUCGUGAUGUCUGGUGUGAAAGCCCCGGGCUUAACCUGGGAAUUGCAUUGGAAACUAGCGGGCUGGAGUGUGGCAGAGGGGGGUGGAAUUCCACGUGUAGCAGUGAAAUGCGUAGAGAUGUGGAGGAACACCGAUGGCGAAGGCAGCCCCCUGGGCUAACACUGACGCUCAUGCAUGAAAGCGUGGGGAGCAAACAGG